UCCUUGUCGGGUAAGUUCCGACCUGCACGAAUGGUGUAACGAUCUGGACACUGUCUCGGCCAUGAGCUCGGUGAAAUUGUAGUCGCGGUGAAGAUGCCGCGUACCCGCUGUGGGACGAAAAGACCCCGUGAACCUUUACUAUAGCUUAGUAUUGACUUUGGACAAGCAAUGUGUAGGAUAGGUGGGAGGCUUUGAAGCGGCGUCGCCAGGCGUCGUGGAUCCAUUGUUGAAAUACCACCCU
rnacentral:rRNA from 1 species